GGAAGGAAGAAGAAAGAUCCGAUGUUACUGGGCAACUGUCCAUGCAACGUGCAGGUGAAGCGAUGGUGCCUUAUGCUGCGCUAAAUCUGAGUAAACCCCGGAAAAUUCCAAGGAAGGUGAAUCAAGAAAGGACGCUGUAUGCACAGACCAAGCAGAAACCAAUGCCUGGUAAAGUGAUUUACGCGCCUGUCGCUACGACGGGAAACAAGACAGAAGGAAACACAAAUCGUUGGCAUAAUUACACGGACAACUCACAGCCAAUGAAACAAAUGCGAGGG